rnacentral:lncRNA from 1 species
AAACAAGGAGAGAACAAAUCAAGGCAGAAGAAGAUCAGCCUUCUAUUGUAUUGUAGAACAAGAAGAAACAAAUGGCCCUGGGGAAGACCCAGAUCAACUUUGAGUUCAAGAUGCUCAUGAUGCAACGCCAGCAAGUGGUGACUAACCUGAAAAAAAUGCCCCAGCAGAUUAGUAAAGCCUUGAACAAGUCCAAGCAACUGACAAAUGAAAAUCAAUCCUACUGGCCUGAAAUACUCCACUGGAAGCUUGAACAGUACACAAAACAGGACAAGAGCUCCCUCAGACAGAACUGUCCACCAGGAGCACUGAGUGUGCAAAUAAAGUCAACAACUCCCCCA